AUCAAAUGAGAAUACCGGCUGAACUUAAGCAUAUCACUAAGCCGAGGAAAAGAAACUAACAAGGAUACCCUAAGUAACGGCGAGUGAACCGGGUAAUGCUCAAUCUUAAAAUCUGUGUCUCAAAUGAGGCAUCGAAUUGUUAGUUUUUGAUAAUCAUCCCCUCUUCUUUUAAUAUAAUUAAAGUCUCUUGGAAUAGAGUGUCAUAGAAGGUGAGAACCCUGUGAAUAGUUAUAUUAGAAGGAGGAUAUUGAGUUUGAUUAUCAUAGAGUCGGGUUGUUUGGGAAUGCAGCCUAAAAAGGGUGGUAAAUCUCAUCUAAAGCUAAAUAUUUGGUAAGAGACCGAUAGAAUACAAGUACCGUGAGGGAAAGAUGAAAAGAACUUUGAAAAGAGAGUUAAAAGUACUUGAAAUUGUUAACUGGG
rnacentral:rRNA from 1 species